CGGGGUGUGGCCUAGCCUGGACCAAGGCGCCAGCCUCGGAUGCUGGAGAUCGUGGGUUCGAAUCCCACCGCCCCGA
rnacentral:tRNA from 1 species